GGAAUAUUGGACAAUGGGCGCAAGCCUGAUCCAGCCAUGCCGCGUGGGUGAUGAAGGCCCUAGGGUUGUAAAGCCCUUUCGGCGGGGAAGAUAAUGACGGUACCCGCAGAAGAAGCCCCGGCUAACUUCGUGCCAGCAGCCGCGGUAAUACGAAGGGGGCUAGCGUUGUUCGGAAUUACUGGGCGUAAAGCGCGCGUAGGCGGAUUGCUAAGUCGGGGGUGAAAUCCUGAGGCUCAACCUCAGAACUGCCUUCGAUACUGGCUGUCUGGAGUCCGGGAGAGGUGAGUGGAAUUCCUAGUGUAGAGGUGAAAUUCGUAGAUAUUAGGAAGAACACCAGUGGCGAAGGCGGCUCACUGGCCCGGUACUGACGCUCAUGUGCGAAAGCGUGGGGAGCAAAC
rnacentral:rRNA from 1 species